GCCCGGCUGGCUCAGUGGGUAGAGCGUAAGACUCUAAGUCUCAGGGCUGUGAGUUUAAGCCCCACGUUGGGUG
rnacentral:tRNA from 1 species